AAGUCGUAACAAGGUUUCGCAAGAACAGUAUCCUUCCGGGUGCCUGUGGAAGCCUAUGCAACCGAGAGGGGUCCGCGACUAUAAAAACCGGAUGCAAGUCGCAUAGCGGCAACAUGAUCGAAUUGCGGGGAUGUCCUAAAGCCGACAGUACCAACGCUCGGGGGGAAACCCCAGGCGGGCCUGUGCUAAUCACACAGGGGGGUCAUAAUCUGUCCGGAUGCACAAUGGAUAAUCCGCAGCGAAGCCCCUACCGGCACUAGCCCACGGGGGAACGUUCACAGACUAAGUGGUUGUGGGUAGGCCUGUCCUGCUUAAGAUAUAGUCGGGCUCCCCGGGAAACUGGGGAGAAUAACCGUUCCGUAGGUGAACCUGCGGAAGGAUCAUUACAGAGUUCAUGCCCCCCCUGGGGUAGAUCUCCCACCCUUGUGUAUCGUUAUCAAAUGUUGCUUUGGCGGGCCGCGGCCUGGCCGCCUGGGUUCGCGCCCGGCGUGCCCGCCAGAGGAUUCAAAACUCUGAAUGUUAGUGUCGUCUGAGUACUAUUUAAAUAGUUAAAA
rnacentral:misc_RNA from 1 species